AAAGUACGUCGUAGUCCGGAUUGGAGUCUGCAACUCGACUCCAUGAAGUCGGAAUCGCUAGUAAUCGUAGAUCAGAAUGCUACGGUGAAUACGUUCCCGGGCCUUGUACACACCGCCCGUCACACCAUGGGAGUGGGUUGCAAAAGAAGUAGGUAGCUUAACCUUCGGGAGGGCGCUUACCACUUUGUGAUUCAUGACUGGGGUGAAGUCGUAACAAGGUAACCGUAGGGGAACCUGCGGUUGGAUCACCUCCUUA
rnacentral:rRNA from 1 species